CCUACGGGAGGCAGCAGUAGGGAAUAUUGCUCAAUGGGGGAAACCCUGAAGCAGCAACGCCGCGUGGAGGAUGAAGGUUUUCGGAUUGUAAACUCCUUUUGUUAGAGAAGAUAAUGACGGUAUCUAACGAAUAAGCACCGGCUAACUCAGUGCCAGCAGCCGCGGUAGUACGGAGGGUGCAAGCGUUACUCGGAAUCACUGGGCGUAAAGAGCGCGUAGGCGGGAUAGCAAGUCAGAUGUGAAAUCCUAUGGGUUAACCAUAGAACUGCAUUUGAAACUGUUAGUCUAGAGUAUGGGAGAGGUAGGUGGAAUUCGUGGUGUAGGGGUAAAAUCCGUAGAGAUCAAGAGGAAUACUCAUUGCGAAGGCGACCUGCUAGAACAUAACUGACGCUGAUGCGCGAAAGCGUGGGGAGCAAACAGGAUUAGAUACCCCUGUAGUC
rnacentral:rRNA from 1 species